GGACCGGGCUUCCGUAUACGGGUAUAUAUAACGAGAACAUCCUCUGAAUACGGGUGCAGGGCAAAAUAAAUUUUACACUUUAGGGCUUUUUUUCCGAUGGCGGCACUUGAAAAACUUCUUGUCAAACCUCUAUGCUGAAUGUAAUUCAUCAAGGUCUGUAGAUUAAUAGACGGCUGGGAUCAGGUCGUCGCAUGACUCAGUGCGCAUGCGCGGUCAGCCAUGUUUGGUGCUAUUCUCCACUACUAAUGUUUACCACAUAAUGUAAACAAACAGUGUAUGGCAUGUCAAAAAAAUUUCCAAUUGAAAAUUCAUUUAUUUAUUGGAUAAAUAUUGUACGUCAAUGUUGUGCGAUCGGUUGCUUUCCCCAGAGAUUCAGAUCGUCGUCGAAAAUGAUCUACUGGUGCUGGUGUAAGCCAAAUAAAACCAAGCUCAAGGUUAUGUGAGAUAUAUUUAUGAAAAUCCAUUAUGAUGAAUCUCAAUAUGAACAACAUCGUCAGGAGGCUCAAAAAAAAUUAAAACCAAAUGCAGUACCAACUUUGUUUGGUGAUGUUUUGAUAGAUUAUUUGAGUAAAAUCCACCAAAAUAAAAGUAACUACAUGAUGUUAGUUGGACAUUAUUUGAAUCACUAAAGCAUAAAGGUUUGACACGAAGUUUUUCAAGCGCCGCCAUCGGAAAAAAAAGCCCUAAAGUGUAAAAUUUAUUUUGCCCUGUGAAUUGGACGACUGGGGUUCACAUCGAUGUAUAUAUAUACUAUUUAGGACAAUGAUCAAUAUACUUGAGUUCUUAUAGGUAUUGCAAUACCCAGGGGUAUAGCACUACGUGUAUUUUUAUGUGGGUUUAUUCGCCACAAGGGACCCUAGACUGAGUCUAGUGAGUAUAGGUAUGGCCCGCCAUAUUGUAUUUAGAUGGUAAAUCGGUAUACUUCUACGUUAUCUGUCGCGUUUCUUCCUUACCCGCUGAAUUGAAUUUUCGGUUAAUAAUUGUAAUAAAUAUAUUCAGGUAAUUGAUUAAUUUAAAUAGAUAAUAAGCUAUAGAAAAAAGGUCUAAGAAAAGAAUGUGGCCACAAACAACUUCCUAUCCUCAGCUACCAUUUUUCCCAUAACUUUUUAUUUAUUUAAAUAAACAAAAAGCUAUUGAAAAAAUGGUAGCUGAGGAAAGAAAGUUGCCAAAUGUUAAUUUAUACGAAAUUAAUUUUGCCAAAGAAAUAAACAAGCAGACAACA